rnacentral:lncRNA from 1 species
AUGAUUGUAUCUUUUUGUCACUUCUAUACUAUUCAUGCAAAGUUCUUCCAACGUACUAAUAUUUGUUACAAACGUUUCAUAAUCAAUACAAAUACCAAUUCGUAACAAUUGAAAGAAAACGGCUCCAAAAGAAAUAUAUCAUAAACUCCUUGAAAAUGUUACAAUACAUUUAAGAUUUUGCCAACCAAAGAUUUGAUUAUGGCAAGACAGGUGUGGUGGUGUGCAUCAAACCCAGGCUUCGAGAUUCUUCAAAACUUCUGGUCUUUCAUCUAGGGUAUGUGGAUAUGGCUCCCUCACACUUGGCUUAAAUAACGGACAACUUGCAGCUGCAAUUCGUUUCCUCUUCAAAGACAAAACUGGUUGUGGUGCUUCUUUCCAGUAAAAAAAAAACCCACUUCCUGCACAAACAAAAAAAGAAAGUACCAUGGCAUUGGUGAGUGAUCUUAAUCACAUUAACCAAACAAAAUUUGUCUAAGGCUUGAACCUGUGACCCAGAAAUGAACAAAUCAGAAAUGGUGGAAUUCAUCAAAUAAAUAAUCAAAUCUAUACCGAAAGUUGUCUAAGGCAUUAACAUCAUCUCCAUCUCUUAGGACCAAAUUACUAGAAUCUAAAAGUCAAACUAUGAAUUUAAAGAGGAGAACAAUUACAAAGAUACUGAAAUAAAAAGAGGGCAUAUCCAAAACAUACACCAAGUCAAGACAAAUAUAUGCACCAACAGAAGACGACCCCAACCUAGUCUCUAAUAUGUUUACACUCACUACCGUAGGGAUUAAUGACCAGAUCAUUGGAGUAGUCAUUGAAGCUAUGGCAAAGACAAUUCUAAAUCUACCUAAGUCAACAUUUCAACAAUAAGUGGAAAUAGACACAUUUAGGAUGUCAUGACAGUUGCAAAGAAGAUUUUGUUUGGUUAUCAGUUGCAAAGAUUAUCAGUAGUGUUAAAUGGAGCUAAUUGUUAAGGAGAGGCAAAGAGACUAUACCAUUUGAUUCCCUUGCCCAUAACCAUGGGAAUGUUAUGAUUGCUUGCAUAAUUGAAACUGUUAUGAUCAGAGCAUUCAUAUGUUUAAUUCAAAAAGAGGAAUCAUCCGAGAGUUACAAAAAAGGGGUAUCUUUUCAUUUCAGUCAUAUGCAAGAUUUCAAAAGAGACAUAUAAAGGAGAUACACAUCAGAAAUCAUUGGAUGUUGGGAUAUUUUAAUUUCAGUUACACAUUAUCAUUAUCAGCAUCAUUGGUAGUAUUCAUUGUCAGCCUUAAUGCAUUAAAUCAGAAAAUCAAAAGGGUCAUGGCACUUUACAUAUUUUUGGCAAGUCAUAAGGUUUUCACAAACCAACAAAUGACCCAUAACCAGCUAUAAAAGGGGUCGGCACAGAAAACCAGAGGAUACAACAGAGAACAGAUAACACAACAGAGAGACAAAAAGAGAUAUCAUACAUACACACGUAGAAAAAGAGAUUAUUCGAAAAAACCAUAGUGCUGAAAAGAAAGGGUAUACAACUAAAAAAUAACAGAACAGUAAAGAGAAGAUGCACGAUAAGAACAAAGGUAUUCCAAAUGGCAUACCCAUUUAUCUGCAGGUUCAUCCUCUUCUUUACUCAACCAUAUUAGUUUAAUUUCAUUUUUAUUUGUGUUCCUAUCAUUAUGUGUUCAUAAUUAUGACAUAAACCCAGAUCUUUAAUAGAAAAGUAACCAACAUAUAAAUUCAAACACAAAGAAAGAAGAACAUACUUGAAAUGGUUAUGAUAGUUCUAAUAAGAGAAACCUUGACUUUAUUUCCACCAACCUAUUACUAAUGGGUAAAGCAUAACAAAUCCAAAACCAAAGAGUAUAGAACCUUGAGUUUUAUUACAUGUUAUUCUUAUUCCUUACAUACCUAAUCAAAGUAAACACAAC